GCCGACUUAGCUCAGUAGGUAGAGCAACUGACUUCGUAAUCAGUAGGUCAUCAGUUCGAUUCCGAUAGUCGGCACCA
rnacentral:tRNA from 1 species